rnacentral:rRNA from 1 species
GACGGGGGAUGCAAGUGUUAUCCGGAAUCACUGGGCGUAAAGCGUCUGCAGGUGGUUUCCUAAGUCCACUGUUAAACCUUGAGGCUCAACCUCAAAUCUGCAUUGGAAACUAGGAGACUUGAGUAUAGUAGGGGUAGAGGGAAUUUCCAGUGGAGCGGUGAAAUGCGUAGAUAUUGGAAAGAACACCGAUGGCGAAGGCACUCUACUGGGCCAUUACUGACACUCAGAGACGAAAGCUAGGGGAGCAAAUGGG